CCUUGAAAUACCACCCUUUAAUGUUUGAUGUUCUAACGUUGGCCCCUGAUCGGGGUUGCGGACAGUGUCUGGUGGGUAGUUUGACUGGGGCGGUCUCCUCCUAAAGAGUAACGGAGGAGCACGAAGGUUGGCUAAUCCUGGUCGGACAUCAGGAGGUUAGUGCAAUGGCAUAAGCCAGCUUGACUGCGAGCGUGACGGCGCGAGCAGGUGCGAAAGCAGGUCAUAGUGAUCCGGUGGUUCUGAAUGGAAGGGCCAUCGCUCAACGGAUAAAAGGUACUCCGGGGAUAACAGGCUGAUACCGCCCAAGAGUUCAUAUCGACGGCGGUGUUUGGCACCUCGAUGUCGGCUCAUCACAUCCUGGGGCUGAAGUAGGUCCCAAGGGUAUGGCUGUUCGCCAUUUAAAGUGGUACGCGAGCUGGGUUUAGAACGUCGUGAGACAGUUCGGUCCCUAUCUGCCGUGGGCGCUGGAGAACUGAGGGGGGCUGCUCCUAGUACGAGAGGACCGGAGUGGACGCAUCACUGGUGUUCGGGUUGUCAUGCCAAUGGCACUGCCCGGUAGCUAAAUGCGGAAGAGAUAAGUGCUGAAAGCAUCUAAGCACGAAACUUGCCCCGAGAUGAGUUCUCCCUGAGACUUUAAGUCUCCUGAAGGAACGUUGAAGACGACGACGUUGAUAGGCCGGGUGUGUAAGCGCAGCGAUGCGUUGAGCUAACCGGUACUAAUGAACCGUGAGG
rnacentral:rRNA from 1 species